rnacentral:misc_RNA from 1 species
UACAGAGACUGCAAGCGUUAUUCGGAUUCACUGGGCGUAAAGGGUGCGCAGGCGGCCAAGUGUGUGAGGUGUGAAAUCCCGGAGCUUAACUCCGGAACUGCGCCUGAAACUACAUGACUAGAGCAUUGGAGAGGGAAGUGGAAUUCAUGGUGUAGCAGUGAAAUGCGUAGAUAUCAUGAGGAACACCAGAGGCGAAGGCGACUUCCUGGACAAUUGCUGACGCUCAGGCACGAAAGCAUGGGGAGCAAAAGGG